AAGAAGUGUGAUAAUGUAAGAGCAUCACCAAUAGCCUCUCAGUUUUCCUUCCUAUUUUAGUCAAAAUUUAGUCUGUCUAACCCACUUUUACUCACCUCCUCUAAUAAGCCUAAAUAAGAAAACCUCUAAAUGAAAGUGAACAUUGUCAAUAAGUGGGGAAAAAAAGAGUGAACAACAAAUAAAAAGUCUAGAGUGAAUAGUGCCUUCCCCACUUAGGGAGACAUUGUAGCAAGAAUUAUAAUAGGAGGUCAAAUAGGAAAACUGUUGGAGGAGGAUUUUUUGUGUUUUAGUCCCUAUUUUAUCUAAAAGAGAGGUUCAGAGAGGCUAUGGGGAAUGCUCUAAGAUGUUAGCUAAUUAACAAGUUGUAUUCAUAUUUUGUUCUCCAUUGCACAUAUUUGUAAAAAAGUUAAAGUUGUCAUA
rnacentral:lncRNA from 1 species